AUAUUCUACAUGUAUGAGUGUGGGAUGGAUGGUGCAUGAUUGGCUAUAUUCUACAUGUAUGAGUGUGGGAUGCAUGAUGCAUGAUUGGCUAUAUUCUACAUGUAUGAGUGUGGGAUGGAUGGUGCAUGAUUGGCUAUAUGCUACAUGUAUGAGUAUGGGAUGGAUGAUGCAUGAUUGGCUAUAUUCUACAUGUAUGAGUGUGGGAUGGAUGAUGCAUGAUUGGCUAUAUGCUACAUGUAUGAGUGUGGGAUGGAUGAUGCAUGAUUGGCUAUAUGCUACAUGUAUGAGUGUGGGAUGGAUGGUGCAUGAUUGGCUAUAUUCUACAUGUAUGAGUGUGGGAUGGAUGAUGCAUGAUUGGCUAUAUUCUACAUGUAUGAGUGUGGGAUGGAUGAUGCAUGAUUGGCUAUAUUCUACAUGUAUGAGUGUGGGAUGGAUGGUGCAUGAUUGGCUAUAUUCUACAUGUAUGAGUGUGGGAUGGAUGGUGCAUGAUUGGCUAUAUUCUACAUGUAUGAGUGUGGGAUGGAUGAUGCAUGAUUGGCUAUAUUCUACAUGUAUGAGUGUGGGAUGGAUGGUGCAUGAUUGGCUAUAUGCUACAUGUAUGAGUGUGGGAUGGAUGGUGCAUGAUUGGCUAUAUGCUACAUGUAUGAGUGUGGGAUGGAUGGUGC